GGUCUAGUCGCCUGGGGCCAAGCCCUCUGCUGCCCAGGACGGCCCUCACCUUCCGCUCGAGGCGCCGGGAGAGGGAGGGAUCAAGCAGACACCUCAGGCCGGGACACUUGAACCAACUGACGCCGGCAGCUCCGCCCACUCCGCCCACAGAAUGUGCGUGAGAAGAAUCCCGCCCCGUCCCGGCACCCCGCCCGCCAAUCACGACUCGAGGAAACACGCCUGCGCAUUAGCUGCCCGCCGCCCCCAAGUCGUCCAGUCUCAAAGCACAGGACACUGACAUCCAAUCAGGAUUGAGGUCGCUGUGGGCGGGACCUGGAAGAGCGACAGCCAGUGACAGUAAAGAAGGAAGCUGCGCCGCCCUGGUGAAGUGGCUCAUCGUGUCUCUUAGGAAACCUUGAGAAUUGGAGUGAGAAUCCCAGUGUGGAAAAUCAGGAGAGAGGUUAUUGAAUUCAUUGGAGAAUGCUGUUCUGAAUUUGUAUCUUAAGGGAAAUAUUACAGAAUGUCACAGAAGAUGUUGGUUGGAUAUCUAAAGUUCAAAAAGGAAGAGAACCACUUGAGCUGGAGAUUCAAGAAGCAUCAGUAGAAGUCAAUGGCCAUUAAUAAAAACAUUUUUUAUUAAAAUAUUGAAUCUGAAUAGAAA